rnacentral:rRNA from 1 species
AUUGAACGCUGGCGGCAGGCCUAACACAUGCAAGUCGAGCGAGCGGCGGACGGGUGAGUAAUGUAUGGGGACUGCCCGAUAGAGGGGGCUAACUACUGGAAACGGUGGCUAAAACCGAAUACUGUCGGAUGACCCAUAGGUGAUGAUCUAGUAGGGGGGGUAAAGGCUCACCUAGGCGACUAUCUCACGCUGGUCUGAGAGGAUGAACAGCUAAACUGUGACUGAGACACGGCCCAGACGCCUACGGCGGCAGCAGUGGGGAAUAUUGCACAAGUGGCGCAAGGCGGAUGCAGCCAUGCCGCGUGUAUGAAGAAUGCCUUAGGGUUGUAAAGUACUUUCAGCGGGGAGGCGUUACCCGGAGAAGAAGCACCGGCUAACUCCGUGCCAGCAGCCGCGGUAAUUC